GGACAAUCUAACCUACGGAAGGGGAUAACCCCGGGAAACUGGGGAUAAUACCCUAUAGACUAUGGAUGCUGGAAUGCUCUGUAGCCGAAAGGUCCGCCGCCGUAGGAUGGGUCUGCGGCCGAUUAGGUUGUUGUUGGGGUAACGGCCCAACAAGCCUGUAAUCGGUACGGGUUGUGGGAGCAAGAGCCCGGAGAUGGAUUCUGAGACACGGAUCCAGGCCCUACGGGGCGCAGCAGGCGCGAAAACUUUACAAUGCGGGAAACCGUGAUAAGGGAACUCUGAGUGCCCGUUAAAUCGGGCUGUCCAUCAGUUUAAAAAACUGGUGAAGAAAGGGCCGGGCAAGACCGGUGCCAGCCGCCGCGGUAAUACCGGCGGCUCGAGUGGUGGCCACUAUUACUGGGCUUAAAGCGUUCGUAGCUGGUUUGUUAAGUCUCUGGGGAAGUCUUCCGGCUUAACCGGAAGGCGUCUCAGGGAUACUGGCAGACUAGGGACCGGAAGAGGUGAGAGGUACUCCAGGGGUAGGAGUGAAAUCCUGUAAUCCUUGGGGGACCACCUGUGGCGAAGGCGUCUCACCAGGACGGCUCCGACAGUGAGGGACGAAAGCUGGGGGAGCAAACCGGAUUAGAUACCCGGGUAGUCCCAGCCGUAAACGAUGUGCGUUAGGUGUAUCGGUGACCACGAGUCACCGAGGUGCCGAAGAGAAAUCGUGGAUCGAAUUCCCGCGGCCGCCAUGGCGGCCGGGAGCAUGCGACGUCGGGCCCAAUUCGCCCU
rnacentral:rRNA from 1 species